rnacentral:lncRNA from 1 species
AUGCCUCUGCAGCACAUUCUCCACAGCUCAUGGCUCACACGGCCCACGGCUCACACAGCCCACGGCUCACACAGCCCACAGCUCACACAGCCCACAGCUCACGGCUCACACAGCCCACAGCUCACACAGCCCACAGCUCACACAGCCCACAGCUCAUGGCUCACACAGCCCACAGCUCACACAGCCCACGGCUCACACAGCCCACGGCUCACACAGCCCACAGCUCAUGGCUCACACAGCCCACGGCUCACACAGCCCACAGCUCACACAGCCCACAGCUCAUGGCUCACACAGCCCACAGCUCACACAGCCCACGGCUCACACAGCCCACGGCUCACACAGCCCACAGCUCAUGGCUCACACAGCCCACGGCUCACACGGCCCACAGCUCACACAGCCCACGGCUCACACAGCCCACGGCUCACACAGCCCACAGCUCAUGGCUCACACAGCCCACGGCUCACACAGCCCACGGCUCACACAGCCCACAGCUCAUGGCUCACACAGCCCACGGCUCACACAGCCCACGGCUCACACAGCCCACAGCUCAUGGCUCACACAGCCCACAGCUCACACAGCCCACGGCUCACACAGCCCACAGCUCAUGGCUCACACAGCCCACGGCUCACACAGCCCACAGCUCACACAGCCCACAGCUCAUGGCUCACACAGCCCACAGCUCACACAGCCCACGGCUCACACAGCCCACAGUUCAUGGCUCACACAGCCCACGGCUCACACAGCCCACGGCUCACACAGCCCACAGCUCAUGGCUCACAUGGCCCACGGCUCACACAACCCACGGCUCACACAGCCCACAGCUCAUGGCUCACACAGCCCACGGCUCACACAGCCCACAGCUCACACAGCCCACAGCUCAUGGCUCACAUGGCCCACGGCUCACACAACCCACGGCUCACAUGGCCCACGGCUCACGUGGCCCACUGCCCCAGCUCUCAGAGCAGCAACUCUUCAGAGGGGGCACCUGAAAAGGGGCUCUAG